GAUGAACGCUGGCGGCGUGCCUAAUACAUGCAAGUCGAGCGAACAGAUGAGAAGCUUGCUUCUCUGAUGUUAGCGGCGGACGGGUGAGUAACACGUGGGUAACCUACCUAUAAGACUGGGAUAACUCCGGGAAACCGGGGCUAAUACCUGAUAAUAUUUUGAACCGCGUGGUUCAAUAGUGAAAGGCGGCUUCGGCUGUCACUUAUAGAUGGACCCGCGCCGUAUUAGCUAGUUGGUAAGGUAAUGGCUUACCAAGGCGACGAUACGUAGCCGACCUGAGAGGGUGAUCGGCCACACUGGAACUGAGACACGGUCCAGACUCCUACGGGAGGCAGCAGUAGGGAAUCUUCCGCAAUGGGCGAAAGCCUGACGGAGCAACGCCGCGUGAGUGAUGAAGGUUUUCGGAUCGUAAAACUCUGUUGUUAGGGAAGAACAAAUUUGUUAGUAACUGAACAAGUCUUGACGGUACCUAACCAGAAAGCCACGGCUAACUACGUGCCAGCCGCCGCCGUAA
rnacentral:rRNA from 1 species